rnacentral:rRNA from 1 species
AUUGAACGCUGGCGGCAGGCCUAACACAUGCAAGUCGAACGAGUGGCGGACGGGUGAGUAAUGUCUGGGAAACUGCCUGAUGGAGGGGGAUAACUACUGGAAACGGUAGCUAAUACCGCAUACCAUCGGAUGUGCCCAGAUGGGAUUAGCUAGUAGGUGGGGUAAAGGCUCACCUAGGCGACGAUCCCUAGCUGGUCUGAGAGGAUGACCAGCCAAACGUGAACUGAGACACGGUCCAGACGCAUACGGGAGGCAGCAGUGGGGAAUAUGGCACAAUGUGCGAAAGCCUGAUGCAGCCAUGCCGCGUGUAUGAAGAAGGACUUCGGGUUGUAAAGUACUUUCAGCGGGGAGGCGUUACCCGCAGAAGAAGCACCGGCUAACUCCGGGCCAGCAGCCGCGGUAAUAC